GACGAACGCUGGCGGCGUGCUUAACACAUGCAAGUCGAGCGGUAAGGCCCUUUCGGGGGUACACGAGCGGCGAACGGGUGAGUAACACGUGGGUGACCUGCCCUCAGCUCUGGGAUAAGCCUGGGAAACCGGGUCUAAUACUGGAUAUGACUCCAUGACGCAUGUUGUGGGGUGGAAAGCCUUGUGCGGCUGAGGAUGGGCCCGCGGCCUAUCAGCUUGUUGGUGGGGUGAGGCCUACCAAGGCGACGACGGGUAGCCGGCCUGAGAGGGCGACCGGCCACACUGGGACUGAGACACGGCCCAGACUCCUACGGGAGGCAGCAGUGGGGAAUCUUGCGCAAUGGGCGAAAGCCUGACGCAGCGACGCCGCGUGAGGGAUGACGGCCUCGG
rnacentral:rRNA from 1 species